UCCCACCCAUUGGGGUUGCUCUA
rnacentral:siRNA from 1 species